AUUGAACGCUGGCGGCAUGCCUUACACAUGCAAGUCGAACGGCAGCGCGGGCUUCGGCUUGGCGGCGAGUGGCGAACGGGUGAGUAAUGCAUCGGAACGUGCCCAGCAGCGGGGGAUAGCCCGGCGAAAGCCGGAUUAAUACCGCAUACGACCUGAGGGUGAAAGCGGGGGACCGGAAGGCCUCGCGCUAUUGGAGCGGCCGAUGUCGGAUUAGCUAGUUGGUGGGGUAAAGGCUUACCAAGGCGACGAUCCGUAGCUGGUCUGAGAGGACGACCGGCCACACUGGGACUGAGACACGGCCCCGACUCCUACGGGAGGCAGCAGUGGGGAAUUUUGGACAAUGGGCGCAACCCUGAUCCAGCCAUACCGCGUGCGGGAAGAAGGCCUUCGGGUUGUAAACCGCUUUUGUUCGGGAAGAAAUCCUCUGGGCUAAUACCCCGGGGUGAUGACGGUACCGGAAGAAUAAGCACCGGCUAACUACGUG
rnacentral:rRNA from 1 species